CCCUUGAGGCCUGCGGGGUCGACGAUUGGCAGCAGUGGGGAAUAUUGGACAAUGGGGGAAACCCUGAUCCAGCCAUGCCGCGUGUGUGAAGAAGGCCUUUUGGUUGUAAAGCACUUUAAGCAGUGAAGAAGACUCUUCGGUUAAUACCCGGAGACGAUGACAUUAGCUGCAGAAUAAGCACCGGCUAACUCUGUGCCAGCAGCCGCGGUAAUACAGAGGGUGCAAGCGUUAAUCGGAAUUACUGGGCGUAAAGCGAGCGUAGGUGGCUUGAUAAGUCAGAUGUGAAAUCCCCGGGCUUAACCUGGGAACUGCAUCUGAUACUGUUAGGCUAGAAUAGGUGAGAGGAAGGUAGAAUUCCAGGUGUAGCGGUGAAAUGCGUAGAGAUCUGGAGGAAUACCGAUGGCGAAGGCAGCCUUCUGGCAUCAUAUUGACACUGAGGUUCGAAAGCGUGGGUAGCAAACAGGAUUAGAUACCCUGGUAGUCCACGCCGUAAACGAUGUCUACUAGUCGUUGGGUCCCUUGAGGACUUAGUGACGCAGCUAACGCAAUAAGUAGACCGCCUGGGGAGUACGGCCGCAAGGUUAAAACUCAAAUGAAUUGACGG
rnacentral:rRNA from 1 species